rnacentral:rRNA from 1 species
AACGAACGCUGGCGGCAUGCCUAACACAUGCAAGUCGAACGAGACCUUCGGGUCUAGUGGCGCACGGGUGCGUAACGCGUGGGAACCUGCCUUUAGGUUCGGAAUAAUUCAGAGAAAUUUGAGCUAAUACCGGUUGAUGUCUUCGGACCAAAGAUUUAUCGCCUUUAGAUGGGCCCGCGUUGGAUUAGCUAGUUGGUGGGGUAAAGGCCUACCAAGGCGACGAUCCAUAGCUGGUCUGAGAGGAUGAUCAGCCACACUGGGACUGAGACACGGCCCAGACUCCUACGGGAGGCAGCAGUGGGGAAUAUUGGACAAUGGGCGAAAGCCUGAUCCAGCAAUGCCGCGUGAGUGAUGAAGGCCUUAGGGUUGUAAAGCUCUUUUACCCGAGAUGAUAAUGACAGUAUCGGGAGAAUAAGCUCCGGCUAACUCCGUG